rnacentral:ncRNA from 2 species
CAAGUAGUGUGAACGAAAGAUGAAAAGAACUCUAAAACAGAGGGUGAAAAGUUCCUGAACUUGCUUAGGGUUAAGGCUAUUUAUAGUACCCGUCUUGAAACACGGAUUAGGGAGUUUAUCUGUAGUGCGAGUCUUUGCACGUUAACUGUAAAGGCGUAGAGAAAGCAACUGGCGUUUGCAUGGCUACUGAGCAUUACUGAUAGGACCCGAAAGGUGGUGAACUUUGCCUGCACAGGUUGAAGUCAGGGGAAACUCUGAUGGAGGACCGUACGGGUUAUUGAUGUGCAAAUCAUUUUUCUGAUGUAGGUAAAGGUGCGAAAGACUCAUCGAACCACCUAAUAGCUGGUUUCCUCCGAAGUUUCCCUCAGGAUAGCUGUAAUGCAUUUAGUUAAGGGGAGUAGAGAUAUGGGUAGAGGUGCAGGGAGCCUUCGGGUUCUCAACUUAUUUCCAAACUUCGAACCUCCUUGUUAGGCAUUUACCUAACUGGAAAUGCUUAAAUGAAUUAGCGUUACAAGUGGGCUCUGACCGGUAAGCGGUCAUGGCGAAAUGGGAUGAACCAUACGUCUGAAUAAGGUGCCGAAAUGUACUAUCACUGAUACCAUAAAGGGAGUCCAUGUAUUUAGACAGCAGGUCGGUGCCCCUAAAAGCAGGUAUCCGCUAAAGAGUGUGUUAAAACUCACCUGCCGAAUACUAGGGCCCCGAAAAUGAAUGGCGCAUAUAGUACUACCGAUCUCAGACAUCAGUUCUAUUGAACUGAGAGUAGGGGGAUGUGGACAUUUUUGUGAAGGUGCAAUGUGAGUUGGACUGGAAGAAUGUCUAUUACAGAUCCUAAUUGAAGUAGCGAUUAUCCAGGCUUGUAUCCUGGGGGCUGAUGAGGAGUAGGGUUUCUGGACAACUUAAACAGAUCCAGAGUUAGUCGAUCCUAAUCUCAAUAAUGGGAGAAAGGGAGUACAGUUGAUAUUCUGUAACUGACAACAGUUCGCGGGCACGCAUACUAUUUUUCUCCGCCAAUCUUAUACCGUUGGUAGGGAUCUCUUUCCUACAUGACAGUACUAAUACCCAGGGAAACUGGUCAUCAAGC